rnacentral:lncRNA from 1 species
UUAGGACUAGAUAUUUCAGAAAAGUACUUGGCAUCGUCAGCUAUAUACAGCGGUGAGGAAACGCACACACAACACAAUGGCUGGAACAAGACGUCUUCUAAGCAUGACCAGUCUGGCCGGAACCUUCCUCUCCUCUCUUUCUCCUCACGCUCCUCCGCUCCGGGAGCGGCCGUGGCCGGCGCCCUCCCGGCUCCCCGUCACUUCCAGAAGACAUCUCUUUCCUUCCGUGUUCCAAGCACAGAUGGCGUUCACAAGACGCGUGAUUUUUCUAACUCUACUGUAUCAUACGUCGGCAACCUCUUCACAUCUAGAACGCCUAGACGCAGCCAAAGCAGUGUUUUUUUUUUUUUUUCUUUAAAAAAAAAAAAAAAGGUCGAGGGGAAAGUUGAGAGCAGCUUUUUCAUAUUAUAUACACAGGCCUUCUGCGAACGGCCAGCAAAUCUUCCCAAGGGCGGCGGGCCUCUCCGGGCGCCUUCUCCCCGUCCGCGGCCGCUCACCGCUCCGCCGCCGGCGUCCCGCGGGGCUCCGCCGCUGCCGGGCCAGCUGAGGUGUCGGCCCGCAGCGACACGGCGAUCGCCCCCAGCCCAAGGCCUGAAGACGCGGCCGGGCUUGCGUCCGCAGACCCCGCCUUCUCGGGCUCUCGAGCUCCUAACGGCCUCCGCCGCGUUCGAGCGGCCGCCAUUCCGCUCGCCUGGCCACACCCGCACCAUUCAAAGGCGCAGCGUCCUUGGCGCCUCGCACAGGCUCCGCGGGGUUGAGCCGGGAGCCCCGGCCGCCGGUGGGGCCGGGUGCGGUUCGCCGCCGCUUCAAUGCCCAGGCCAGGGCGGUGGAGCAGUCGGCAGCGAGAGGCCCGGGUGUCUGCAGGGUAGAGGCCAUAGUCCGUCCCGGGGGCCCCCCAGCUUACCCGCCGGCCCUGGGCCGGAGGGAGCGGAGGGCCCCGGGGGAGCAACCCGCGUCCUUCUUCUCUCCGAGUUCUCCGCCGGAACUGACUUGGCAGUUCCCUGCGCGGGUGGGAGAGGAGCGGCACCGGAAGUGCCCUCGCGCCGGGGCCCGGGAGCACUGGUUCCGCGACAGCAACGUUCCGGCAUGGGGGCGGGGCAUAGUCACGUGAGCUCAGGACGCCCCCUCCUGGCUUGCCCUUCGCAAUGGUGGUUUUUACCGGCCUCAGAAUACUCCGAGCAUGCGUAUUUCUCAGCUUUCUCAUCACCCCCCCAUCCCCCUCCCCUCGCCGCUUCGCAACGUUUUAUUCAUUCACUCCCUCGCCCACCGCCCGUCUGUGGUUGGAGCCCCUACUGUGUGCCCCGUAAGCACUGGGAAAUGUCGCCGCGAAAGAAAGAAUAAAGACACAGGAACACUCCUGCCCCUCCUGAACUUACGUUCCAGUAGGGAAAGCAGAUAAACAAGAUCCCUAAAAUGAGUAAAGAGCAGACAGCAAAAGAAAAUUUAAAAAUAGGGAAAAGGAAUGGGACGUGUGGGUUGAUGGAGACCUGGAGGGGGGCGGGGGGUGAGCCGGGC